rnacentral:lncRNA from 1 species
AGGCAUUUGUCCAUGCCCUUCCGAUUGGCUCUGAUGCCCCAUCUCCAGAGCUGGUGUGCAAAGGCAGCAGGAUUUAACGGCAGACGGGGGUGUCAUCACUGAAGAGAGAAGCUGACUUCUGUUGUAUCUUGUCUAAGUGUGGAUGAAUGUGAAUAGUGACCUCACGUCUCCUGUGUUUUCUUGAUAGAUUGCUGAACGACUUUUAUAUGAACACUGGAAGAAGAACAACCCCAAACUUCGAGAGGUGAGAACGAAGCCUCCCAUUGCUUCGCCUGCGUAGGCACCACCGCGGUUUCAGAUUUUGUUCCUUGUUUCUGGGUCUGGAUGUGUGUUGGGCUGAUACAGAGGGCAGAAGACCUGGCCAGACAGGGCUGAGCAGCGAACUCUGACAGGCAACCUGCCUUUGGGGGUAUGUUCUGUGGCUUAGGAGCUCUCUGCCCAGUGGGCUGCAGAGACCUGGGCAGUGGGCUCAGGAUGCUGCUUUCAGUUGGAUAAUAUGGUGUGAGGAAAGGGCCUUCUGGAUGGAGAUGAUUGGAAAUGCUGCCCUGUGCCUCGAGGACAGAACCGAGGAAGCUAUAAAGGGCCAGGUGAGACCAAGAUGCCCCAUGGCUAGGGAGUCCUGAAGAGAUAAAGCUGGUGAGGAGAUGGGAGACAGACCUGGACCAGCACUGCCUGGCCUUCCUCCAGAGGCUCUGGACCACUUUAGCAAUGUGCAAGAUCACUGCUGUAUGUUGGGAUGCUCCUCUUGGCAGCAUGGUCAGCGUGAGCCAGGCAGGCUGGUGCUGUGUGUUGGGUUCCUAAGGUGAAGCCUGGUGCUCCUGGGUGGAGGAGACAGGGGCCAUAUCUGCAUCCUGUCUUGGUUGGCACCUGUCACUGCACAGAGGUUGGCUGGAGGGCAUUAUGCCAGUUACUGCUACUGUCUACUCACUUCAGCAACGUUAGGACAAGUCUGACAUGGUCACUUUCCGUAGCUCGUUGUGUCUAGAAAUUGCCAGUAGUGAUUCCAGGUGAGAUGGCUCCGCAGGUAAAGGUGUUUGCUGCCAAGCCUGGUGGCCUGAAUUUCAUCCCAGCACCAACACGGCAAAGGACAGAACCAACUCCCACAGGUUGUCUUCUGGCCUACACAUAUACAACACACACACACACACACACACACACACACAAUGUAAAAGAUAUUUAAAAAAGGAAACAAGAAAGUUAGAUGGAGUAGUUCACUUUUUUCUUUCUUGUUGUUGUUUCUUUGACUGUUUUUUAUGAAACAGGGUCUCAUUACGUAGUCCUGGCUGUCCUGGAACUCCCUAUGUAGACUGGGCUGGCUUUGAACUCACAGAAAUCCACCUGCCUCUGCCUCUCUGCCUCUCUGCCUCCUCUGCCUCCUCUGCCUCCUCUGUCUCCGCCCCUGCCCCUGCCCCUGCCCCUGCCCCUGCCCCUACCCCUGCCCCUGCCCAUCUCAGCACUGGGGAGGCGGAGGCAGCUGGGUCUCUGAGUUCAGGCCGGAAGUUUUGGCAAGCCAAGCUCAGGGCUGGCUCUGCUUACCCAGCGUCUCCCAGGCUCUCCUUUCAAUUUGCAGUUUUGUUUGAGAAAUGCUCGCUGCCCUCCCCUGGGCUCCGAGAGAGAGCAUUGGCCCUUUGUGACCAGGGGUAGACAGGGCUUAGAAGCACGUGAUCCUUUGGUUUCCUAUUUGCUGAUCAUUCAGAUUGGAUUUUGUUGUUGAUUUUUUUUUGUUUUGUUUUGUUUUUUUUUUUGUUUUUGUUUUUCGAGUCAGGGUUUCUCUGUGUAGCCCUGGCUGUCCUGGAACUCACUCUCUGGACCAGGCUAGCCUCGAACUCAGAAAUCCGCCUGCCUCUACCUCCCAAGUGACGGGAUUAAAGGCGUGUGCCACCACCGCCCAGCUCGUUGAUUUUUAUUGACGAUUGUGUGUGUGAGGGGUGCAGAUGUGUUGUAGCCCCUGUGUGGAAGUCAGUGAUCAACCGUUGGGCGUCACUUCUCCUCCCGUCCCCCAGCCUCCCUUAGAGGCAGAGUCUGUCCUUUUCUGCUGCUAAGUUGAACUCUGGGCUAGCUGACCCUUAAAUUUCUGGGCUUGUAGAGAGUCCUCUAGUCUCUGCCUCCCACCUCACCACAGAGGUGCAAGGAGCCCACACACACGCCAUCCCGUCCUGCUCUUUACAUGGGCAGUGCCAGGGAUGGACCUCAGGUAUGCAGACCACGGCUUUACACUUGACCCCUCUCGGUGGCCCUCAUCAGGCUGUUUUUGUUGGGGUAUCGAGUCAUGGUCAGGUGGCACUGACCACAGCAAGUCACCUCAAUCAGUCUCACACAAGCCCUCGGGCAAAGUAACAUUUUCUUUCUCACCCUCAGCUUGAGUUGGACCUUCACAAGAAGCACGUGAUAAAUUCUUGGGCAACACAGAAAGAAGAAAAAAAACAGGUAUGGAAUGUGUGACCCUCACACACUGUCGGCACUUGUGACUCUGUCCUGUCUCCAUGCUCUUGGCUAAAUGAGCAGCAGGUGCCUGCCUGGCUGCUUGCUGCAUGUGCAGGCUGAGGUUUGCUUUGAGCAUGCUCAUAUGCAUGUUCUUGUGUGUGUGCACACACAUUCACAUGUACGUGUGUGCACGUGUGUGUGGGUUCACAUGUGUAGGUGUGUAUGCGGGUGUGUGCAUGUGUGGGGGUGAUGUUUCUCAGGAGCCAGCUGUCGUUUUUUGAGAGAGGGUCUUUCAGAAGUCUGUAGCUUUCCCAAGUAGACUUCCAAGGACCCGUAGGGACCCCCUCACUUUCCACUUCCCUGGGACUAAGGCUACAAGGGUGGACUCUUUUGCCAGCUUUUUUAAAUU